AUUAAUGAAGCUUUCCGGAACAUGGACCACGACAAGCAAACUGUCUGCUGAUGCUUAUACCACUUGGUGGUGAGUGAAAAUCAGUACUUCCAUGUGCUUUUCUUCUUUUUGCAGUUGUAGUUUUUGAAUAUCGUCUUAAUAACUGAAGUCUUUUCUUUUUUUGUUUGUUUGUGUGGCACAUCCUAUACCUUGACGCACUUGUUCACGAUGUGCGAGUAAGCAAUUGUGCCAUACGAGCGAAUGCCUGGGAUAGCAAUUUAAUUGCGAAGGUGAUCAAGAAAGAUUUGGUAUCUCCUGGUGUGUUCGAAAAAUUACAAAGGAGUAUAGAGGCACAGAGUAGACACCACUGUUUGGUGGUCUUUUGCAAGCUCAAGCAUUUGUGGCAUCCAAGUUACCACUAACCUACAAUCCGCAGGCAAAUAUUGCAGAAGUGGUUCAUGAUCUGUGCAAGUCAGUAACUGAACAUAUGGGCAACUUCAUUGGAGUAGUUGUCAAGAUUGAUGAGGAGGAACCAGAUAUCGAUCCCUAUGUACGGAAGUCGUCAUUGCAAACCAGCAGGUCAAACAUGCUCCACAAAGAAAGAGACGGGUUGCAUCUAGA